AAGACAUUAGUAAAGCGUAAAUUACAUCACCUUGUCAAGAUGAAAUCGUGGGUUAAAGCCCUGCAUGUCUUA
rnacentral:tRNA from 1 species